rnacentral:snRNA from 1 species
GUGCUGACUUCCAAAGCACAUAUAAUAAAACUGCAGUGAUACAGAGGUUAGUAUUGUCUCUGUACAAAGAAAACAUGCAAAGUCAUGAAACAUUCCAUAUGUUU